AAGCAUCACAUAUGAGUGUACAAUAAUACACUGAGAGUCGAUUAUCUAGUAAAAUACCUUUAUUAUGCAUAUUAUAUUUAAGGGUACGGAAUCCGCACUGGCGAAGACGUACAAAUUAUUAAAUUCCCAGAGUAGUUACUGGCCAUAGCCACGACGAUAGGUAUGAAGAAUUCCUAUGCCGUAAUAAUUAUAAUAUCAAUAUCGUUAAAGUCCGG